GCAGCCGCCACGGUAAUACGUAGGUGGCAAGCGUUGUCCGGAUUUAUUGGGCGUAAAGCGAGCGCAGGCGGUUUCUUAAGUCUGAUGUGAAAGCCCCCGGCUCAACCGGGGAGGGUCAUUGGAAACUGGGAAACUUGAGUGCAGAAGAGGAGAGUGGAAUUCCAUGUGUAGCGGUGAAAUGCGUAGAUAUAUGGAGGAACACCAGUGGCGAAGGCGGCUCUCUGGUCUGUAACUGACGCUGAGGCUCGAAAGCGUGGGGAGCAAACAGGAUUAGAUACCCGAGUAGUCCCUGUCUCUUAUAC
rnacentral:rRNA from 1 species